rnacentral:rRNA from 1 species
UGGGCAACCUGCCCCUCUCUCUGGGAUAACCCCCGGGGAAACCGGAGCUAAUACCGGAUACUCCGGCUGGAUCGCAUGGUCCGGCCGGGAAAGGUCCGCCGGAGAGGGAUGGGCCCGCGGCCUAUCAGCUUGUUGGUGGGGUGAUGGCCUACCAAGGCGACGACGGGUAGCUGGUCUGAGAGGACGAUCAGCCACACUGGGACUGAGACACGGCCCAGACCUCCUACGGGAGCA